GGCCUCUGCCAAGGCUGCUGUGUCCUGCGGAGCUCCGAGCACGUGUAGUGCCCAGCUGCCAAUUUGAGGAGAUGCCUGCCCUGGAUGACUUGGAAGUAGGGUGGUCUUUGCCCCCCUGAGAAGUAGUGCAGGUGUGGUUAUCAGGAGAAUGAGAAAACUGCCUCCAUCAGGACUUCAGGUUUCUGACAACACUGUGUUUUGAGUAAUGUGUGCAAGGACUUCUCAAAUUGUGUUGAGGAUGGAACCCAGAGCCUGCCAGCUGUGCUACAUCUUCAGCCCGAGAACGUCUUUCAAAGAUGUUUUCCUCAAACAUUGAAAAAGCGGUGGUGCAUCCUUUACUCCUAGCACUGAGGAGGCAGAGGCAGGCGGUUCUCAAACGUGGCUCAAUUGGGGCUGCAGGCUUUUGCUAAACCUAAUGUUUUAAUAUAUUUUGUCCUUCAUAGAUACAGCCUUUUCCUAUUAAAAAGGUCCUUAUUGCUAGCCCAGAUCCUGAGCCUUCUCUCCCCUCCUCCCAGGCCAGGUUUCAGAGGACGGUCCUCCAGUUUCCCAUCUUUGUACCCCCA